ACAGGCUUUCUUCACCUUGUACAGUAGACUGAAAAAUCAUGUCCUAUAAUUUUAGGGCUUUUUUUUUUUUUCUUUCUGUUUUUCAAAAUGUAUGUUCUCUUUAUUGCAUCAAGUGGAUUUAAAAGAAAAUGCUUUGUGCCUUUUGUUUGUUUGUUUUUAAACUUGCCUCUGUGAUAGUAAAGAAAUGUGUUUCUAGUUCUGUUGUCACUGUUGAAUGGCAGAGGACGCUGCUGGCAGGGGGAAGUGGAAGGGAGCACACAGAGUCUCAGAAUCUUGUGAACUCCCACAGAACUCAGAAUCCCUCCCAGCCUGCUCAUGCCCUCCGUCAUGGUUGUGCAUCGCGAGAUGCCCAUAUGUUGUAGCGAUACAGCGGCGGAUGCGGGCUUGAUUGUCAGGGGCUCUGUGUAUCUCUGCCACGCCCCUUCCUGUAACUUUCCCAAGUGUAAACGGUACUGCAAGCUUAUGCAUAGUGUUUCCCAGGUGGCACGGAGUUGCCCUUUGGGAAGCAGCAUCGCGGUUGGAAGUGCACACGCAUGCCUUCUGUACUUGGCCCUGGCCAGGUGCAAGUUUCUUUUCAGGCUGUGGAAAAGCCCUUUUCAAGCUUGUCAGGAAAUAAUCUCCCUGUGUUUGGGAGGGUGUGGGGUGCAAAAAACAUUAACAGUGCUUGGAUGAAGGCUGCCACCUGGUCUUUCAAUGGUAUUUAUGACCUUACUGCAGUUCACUAUUUAAAAUUGCCAUAAUCAUUGUCUUGGUUUUCAAAAAUACUAAUAGAGUUUAUAGGUUUUAGAGCAAUAGAGUGACUUUGAAGUAAAAAUAUAACCAUUCUUUCUUGGCAUUUCAAUUAUUAUGAUUGAAAUACUUCUAAUUCCAAUUUUGAAAAAAAUGUUGAGCAUGUUUAGGGUGUUAUAGUAGCACUGCUAAUAUGCCACUUGCCCACUCCUGAGGCAUUGGGAGAGAGGUGUACAUCUGGGCUUAGCACAUGCUAAAUACAUUAAGGGAGUAUAUUGUAGUCAGAGUAGGUAUGAAAGGCACCUUGCUUCCUGAAGCCGACCUCAGCUCCAUGAUCUAUGGAGGAAUAAACUGGUCAUUUGGAGGUUUUUAAGUCUAGGACGACUUCUUACCUUUAAAAUGUAACUUGAAACCUACUUGUAACUUUUCCUGUCACUGAGCAAGCAGUUAGGACAGAAACAGCUCUCUGCAUCCCGGCUGGCUUGCAGACAGAUUCAUGUGGUGAAUGCCUUAAAUCUCUUGGUUGGUGAAGGACUGGAAACAACACUGAGAAGGUUAAGCCUGAGGUCUGCAGCUUUGACUCUGGGUCUCCAAAUUAGCCAGAAACAGAUGCAGAGAUGGAGUUGGCUGUGGGGAUGCGCGUGUUUGGGAUGCUCUCAUCAUUACUUCUGGAUUUGAUCAAGCCCUCUUUAGGAACUGUGACGACAGACCAGAAUUUUCUUUGUCCAAUGAAAUGUCAUUUUAAUGCAAAAUAUCUUGAACACUCACUGUGGGUGAGUAAUUCGCUGCCCUAUGCCAGCCUUCCAGGAAGGCUUUUCCUUUAUUAAUUAUGUAAACUAGUGGCUUGUACAUAUUAAAUGUUUUGUUUUUGUUUCUAAAUCAUCUAUAAAUGGCUGACAUCACAGCAGGCAGUGACCUCGGGGUGUGUGGUGAAUCAUGGUGGUCUACCUUUUCCAGAGAGAGAGAGAGGAGGAUGUGUCUGUGAUGAGCGUGGGAAUUGGACUUGCUGGCUGAUUUAUUUCCACUGUUUUACAAACUAAAUGUAACUUACUCUCUAACCUGCAUGUUAGUAGUGUGCUUUGCUGAGAGACUACGCCAGCUGGUUACCAUCUGUAUGAUUUUUUAAGCAGAAAUAUAUUCUUUUUAUAGCUAUCUGUUGAGCUCACGUUUAGGGUAGCAGAAGGAAUUUUGACAUUUGCAGCCUUUCACAGGCAGCCUGAGCAAGGUUUGUUCAUUCAGUGAGGAAGGCUGGGUUCCCCG
rnacentral:lncRNA from 1 species